GUUGCCCUACGGGGCGCAGCAGUGGGGAAUAUUGCACAAUGGGGGAAACCCUGAUGCAGCAACGCCGCGUGAGCGAAGAAGUAUUUCGAUAUGUAAAGCUCUAUCAACAGGGAAGAAGAUGACGGUACCUGAUUAAGAAGCCCCGGCUAACUACGUGCCAGCAGCCGCGGUAAUACGUAGGGGGCAAGCGUUAUCCGGAUUUACUGGGUGUAAAGGGAGCGCAGACGGCAGGGCAAGUCU
rnacentral:rRNA from 1 species